UGUUCGGGGUAUGUAGGAAUUCCCUUAAAGAAUUGGACAUGGCAAUGGCGAGACGAUCCGUUGAAUAAAACAUGGCUGCCUUACCAGUACCCGGAUAACAUUACCACCAGUUAUAGCUCGCAACAGUUUGGUUGUAACUCGUUUACCACUUCAACUUUGAAACAUACCAUGACAGAUAGAGGAAUAGAGUUCAAAUGUAUUUUAGGAGAUUUCGAGGCCUACAGUUUCUCAACUACUCUAUACUCUAGAGCUAUCACGUCCGGUCAAUUACAAAUUCUAAAUCUACCAAGCGCCGGACAAUUAAAAUUGAGAUGUUCACCGCAAGUAGAUGCUGGUUAUACCAGACUUGACGAAAUACGGAUUUACCGUCACAGAGGCCGAGAAUCAGAAAGUUGGAUAAUUGAUAAAUCUUGGCUUUCACGGAGUGAAGACGGCGUUACUGUCAUGGGUUCAUUUGACAUAUCAGCACCGCUGAAUUCGUAUCUAGAAAUUGCGGAGAGUCCAUCUUGUAGAGUCCACGACGUGUAUGGUUGUAUUACGUCCGGGACCACAGAAGAUAACCUUCAAGGUUUACAGGAAACUAAAACCGUCACAGAUGUCCUUGUUCCUACCAGUAUCAGUACAAGUAAAACACCAAACACGUACUUUUCUACAGUCGGUGAUCUUCUCACAUUCAAAUGCGAGGGGGAUAUCGGCAACCCUCCACAAAAUAUCUCCUGGUUAUGGAGAUCUAAUUCUAAAUCAUCAUGGAGGGCUUACGUUCAUUCCGAGGAGGAUAUAUCCACUAUUGUUACUCGACCGGAAACUGAAGGGUGCCAAUAUUCGACAAGCAGUUUCUUAAGUUAUAAUGUGAAAGGUGAAGAUAAUGGUAAACAAUUUCGAUGUACAGCCGCAGGUUUGGAAAGUCAUAACCAGGACAUAACUAUAUAUU